rnacentral:lncRNA from 1 species
CAGCAAGCCACAUUCUUUGUACACUGAGAGAGAUUCCAUGGAACUAUCUGGACAUAGUGUGUGAUUUUUACACAGUUCACUUUAGAACUCUUUGCAGGAUUAAUAUAAGAGCCUUCAUCCAGUAGCUGAUGGAAGCAGAAGCAGAGAUCCACAGCUAAGCACUGAGCCGAACUCCUAGAGUCCAUGAAGGAGUGAUGAGCAAAGGGGUCAAGACCAUGCUAGAUGACCUGAGCAAGUGGCAGCUCAUGGACCCCAGCCAGACAGCUGAGGAACCAGCAUCGGACUAAACCAGGCCUCCUGAACUUGGGUGACAGUUAGGAGGCCUGGGCAGUCCAUGGGGCCUCUUGCAGUGGAACCAGUAUUCAUUCCUAGUGCACGAAUGGACUUUGGGAGCCCAUUCCUCCACGGAGGGAUACUCUCUCAGCCUAAAUACACAGGGGAGGGUCUAGGCCCCGCCCAAAAUGAUGUGACAGUCUUUGAAGAUUCCCCAAUGGAAGGCCUCACUCUUUCUGGAGCGUGGAUAGGGAGUGGGAUGGGGC